CAGAAAUGGACUUUGAAAUGCUUGUUUUGGCAUCACAUAGAAGAUUAGCAUGACCUCUGAGCAAGGAUUACACACAUUUGUGAAAUAUUUCAAAUUUUU
rnacentral:snRNA from 1 species